CAAACGACUCUCGGCAACGGAUAUCUCGGCUCUCGCAUCGAUGAAGAACGCAGCGAAAUGCGAUACUUGGUGUGAAUUGCAGAAUCCCGCGAACCAUCGAGUCUUUGAACGCAAGUUGCGCCCGAAGCCGUCAGGCCGAGGGCACGUCUGCCUGGGCGUCACG
rnacentral:rRNA from 1 species